UGUUUAUUAAAGUAAUCAGAUUACUAUGGGCAGAAAUCUGUGCCAUCAGAAACUGAAUUUGAAUUAGUCUAAUUUGAAAAUGAAUUGAUUUGCUUUGAAACUGCAUUUUAUCCUUUAAAAAUUCAGCUCUCGAAUAAUUUCAGUUUCACUUCUCACCAUUCAGUUUCAGUUCUACAAUUCAGUUUUUUGGAACUUGCAUCCGGUUCCGGUUCAAGCGCAGAUUAAUAGAACUACGUUUUACUAGCGGACCGAAAGUGUUACUGACGGGAAUCUACAGCGUCUUGAGCUGAAUUAAGACUUCAGAAGUCAUUCGUCAUGUCGAAUGACCAGCGGAUAAACUCUCAGGAGAAUUCCAACGUUGUCAUCUUGGACCCUCUCAGAGUACCCCCUCUGUACCCCAAGAGCGAAUGAAAAAACUGAGCGAGAGGGGCUGUUAUUAAAUGAAUGAAGUCGUCACCUCCCAGCUUCAGUCAGACUGGUUCACCUGUCCCCACACCAGUCACACCACUGGCUGAGAACAUGGAUAAUGUGACUUGGAGCUCUUUUGGUUCAGAGACAGCAAGCAGUUAGGCAAAGAGAGAAAAGCUCAGCCUGUGGGAUUCACUGAAAGAUGUCAUAGAAAUGCUCAGCACCAUCCACAAACAUUUGCAUUAUUUGCAAAGAACAUGGAGAACGUCGAUGCAUGAACGCAGCAGUACUCGUGUAUAUUAGGAAAACAACAUUUACAGCUACAUUUACCAGAGGACCACAGACCCACGCAGUAAACACAAGAGAGAUAAACAUGUUCGUGAACACAGGUUUGUUCUUAGAGAUUUAUGACUUAAUGCCAAACUAUUCUGUUUGGACAUCAGCGUGUCAUUGCUCAGUGCAACACAAUGCAGAUCAUGCAGUUUAACAGCAUUUGACACAUUUCUGUAUAUAAACAUGUUUCAGGC
ensembl:lncRNA